UCUGAAACUGGCCUCAGUCAUCCCUGUCCCACAUUCUCUUCUGGAAACCCCCCCUCCCCCAUCAAGACGCGGCCUCGGACCCCUCACCCCUUGCAUUUGGGAGGGCUCAUGGCUCACAGUCGUGGUGGCACGAGAGGCUGAGCUACCCCAGGCAGUCCCAUUCUCAGGCACUGGGGGACAGGACGUCUGCACAUGGAUUUGGAUUUGGGGGGACAUGAUGCAGCCGAGCUGAGGUCCCAGCCAAUAGCAGCAUCCUGCAGCCAUGAGUGAGGUGGGCAGUUUCCUGCAGAAGACUCCAGCCCCGGCCCUGGGGCCACCAGACCCUGAGGACCAGAGAGAAGCGGUCGCUGUCUGCGUGCGGGAGCUCCUGGCUACAGAACGCGUGAGCAGAACAUGGUGCAUGCUUGUGACCUGUAGUUUUGGGCCCCUGGAUGCUGAUUAUUCAGCCAUGGUCACUGAAAUACCCUCAGCCUGGGAGUUCUCAUAUUAUCUCAACUAACCUUUGCACACAUCAAGGUGCCUGUCUCACGGAUGAGGACACCGAGACAUACGGGAUUAAAUAAACUGCUCAAAACACACAGUUGCUAAGUGGUGACCCGGACUUGAACCCCGUCUGGCUGACUCCCGAGCCGUUCCCCCCGUGGAGGAGGUCUCGGACAGUGCCUGACUCCCGAGCCGUUCCCCCCCGUGGAGGAGGUCUCGGACAGUGCCUGACUCCCGAGCCGUUCCCCCCGUGGAGGAGGUCUCGGACAAUGCACAGAGACUCGGUGCGGAAGACCCGCGCCAUUCCCACAGGCGUGUCCUGCUCUUUUCGGGACUGGCUGCAGAAGAGUCCCUGCCUGCAGCUCACUCAGCUCAGAGGACGCUGGUGAGGCCAGGCCUCUGGCUGUUCCAGGCAGACCCAGCACCCAUGUCAGGAGCAGCCAGUGUCUCCCCAGGACGGCAGAUGGAGGCAAACCCUGGUGUCUGAGUGGCUUCAAAUAGCUGUACACCUGGAAGCCUCAAAGUGCAGGGAACACGGCAGAUGGGGGCAGGUGGAUGCCCAGGAAGCCUCACCACAGUCACCUGGCUUAUUUGCCCCGGCCGGGCCAUUCACAAGGCUUGCUGCUGAAAAGCAGUAGGCUCUGCCCACCCAGCUUUGCACUGCAGGCCUGGCUCCAACCCACACAGAGGAAAAAAAAAGUUAUUUUUCACCUGUUGAUGCAGCAAAACGGAACCAGAAGCAGGAGUUCCAAGCCAGCCGUGCCUUUCUCUCCACUUCCUUCCCUGGGUGCAACCACAGCGGCGUGGUAGUGACUGUGGAUAGUAAGUUCCUGCAUUGCGGCUCUUCUGACCCGCGUCAAGGGUGAGCUUCCUGCUCUGCCGAUGUGCUUUGCCUCCUGGAAGCUUCAGACAUGGAAGCCAUGUUCUGCAGGACCAGGAGAAACCCCACUUUCAUCCCACGUCUCUGGUUAUCAGAGCAUCAAAUCCAAGUUUGACCUACAUUACAGGGCAAGUCGGUCAUGAGCACACACUGGACCAUGACAAAUUGAUUGUCGUGACUUUAUUGAUGUCAAGGGGGAUACAGUGCCACGAUUAAUAAUUUACCCAACAGAGAAAAGCUUUUCUUGUCUCUGUGAUGCCGGAGAGCCCAAGGUUUGAUUGUUCCAAGUCCGAGCACUAAGGAGGGAGGUGCUCACACUUACAGCUCAGGUGAAAAUCCACAGCAGAAGAUUCCUGGUAGCCUCCUUUCUGCGUGCCCACAAGUCGUCGAGGCAGAAAGUGAAGUUUGUUCUCUUAUAACAAACCAUUUGGACAGACACUUGGUUUUUCUGUUCUCAGAAUUUUUUCUGCUCUACCCAAACUAGGGGUUGGCGUUGCAUAAGUACCUUGGGCACUUGGGAAAUGCCUGUUUCGUUUCAUUACAUUGAGCGGUGAUAAGAAGAUUCAGACACUAAUUGGCAUUUUCCCCUAAAUCUCCAUGGAAAUGCAGUCUCUACUCCAGGGCACCAUGUACUGCGAGGACUUUAUACUCGCCCUCCGAGUGAAAGGAGAAUGAAGGAAUGAAUACAGAGGUGGACAGGGUCAUUUCUGUCCCAUAACUGCAUAUUGUCGACAUUUUUCUUUUCUGAGAUGGCGUCUCGCUCUGUCGCCCAGGCUGGAGUGUGGUGGCAUCAUCUCAGCUCACUGGAACCUUUGCUUCCCGGGUUCAAGCGAUUCUCCUGCCAUGACAGGCACCCACCACCAUGCCCGGCUAAUUUUUGUAUUUUUAGUAGAGACGAGGUUUCACCGUAUUGGCCAGACUGGUCUUGAUCUCCUGACCUCGUGAUCCACCCACCUUGGCCUCCCAAAGUGCUGGGAUUACGGGCGUGAGCCACCGUGCCCAGCCUUUUGUGGACAUUUUAAACAGCAGGGAAAUUAAUCCUGAGCAAUAAUAAAUAAAUAAAUAACUAAAUAAAUAAAUCAUGGU